AGUCUCCACCUGUUGGGAGAAGAGGAAAGGGUUAAGUCCAGUCUCCACCUGUUAGGGAAGAGGGAACGGGAGGCUUAAGUCCAAGUCUCCACCUGUUGAGCCGAAGGGGAAAGGGAGGCUUAAGUCCAAGUCUCCACCUGUGAGGAGAAGAGGAAGAAGGCUUAAGUCCAAGUCUCCACCUGUUGAGGAAGAGGAAAGAGAGGCUUAAGUCCAGUCUCCACCUGUUGAGGAGAGAGGGAAAGGGGGCUUAGUCCAAGUCUCCACCUGUUGAGGAGAAGAGGAAAGGAGGCUUAAGUCACAGUCUCCACCUGUUGAGAGAAGAGGAAAGAGGGGCUUAAGUCCAUGUCUCCACCUGUUGUGGGAGAAGAGGAAAGAGAGGCUUAAGUCCAUGUCUCCACCUGUUGAGGAGAAGAGGAAAGAGAGGCUUAAGUCCAUGUCUCCACAUGUGGAGGAGAAGAGGAAAGAGAGGCUUAAGUCCAUGUCUCCACAGGUGGAGGAGAAGAGGAAAAUGAGGCCUGAGGAUGAGCAGAAGUACGGACAGAUCCAGAGCCUGCUGCAGACUGUUGGGCUGGAUCUGGGGGUGGAAGAGUUGGGCCGACUGAACGACGGAUCCAGGAGAGGCCUGUAUGGGAAGAAGAGAGACCUGGGGAAGAAGGGGGGCAAGAAAGAAAGCGUGUGUGGGGGGUUGAGAAAGAGGAGGCAAGAGACAAAGAGGAGGGAGAAAGAUAAACAGAAGGAGAAAGAGGAGAGUGGAAAGAUAAACAGAAGGAGACGAGGAGAGCAGGGAGAUAAAGAGGGAGAAAAGGAGAGCGAGGAAGAUAAACAGAGGAGAGGGAGAGCGAGGCGAUAAAGAUGGGGAGGACAGGGAGCGAGAGAAGAAACAGAGGAGAAAGAGGGGCGAGGAAGAUAAACAGGAGGAGAAAGAGGAGAGCGAGGAAGAUAAACAGGAGGAAGAAGAGGGAGAGCGAGGAAGAUAAACAGGAGGAGAAGAGGGAGCGAGAGAUAAACAGGAGGAGGAAGAGGAGAGGGGAAGAAACAGGAGGGAAAGAGGAGAGCGAGGAAGAUAAACAGGAGGAGAAAGGGAGGAGCGAGGAGAUAAAACGGAGGAGGAAGGGAGAGCGAGGAGAUAACAGGAGAGAAAGAGGACGAGCGGGAAAGAUAAAGAGGAGAGCGCAUGCUCAAGUAAAUGUCACGUAUUACCUUGUUUCAGAUGCUCCAACUCCCGCCCUCCUUGCAUCGGUGUGACCGCAAAAUACAAACGCUCUAGCACCAGGACCAGGACCGAGACAGAGACAGGGGCAGAUCUGGAGAGAAACAGAACAGACGCUCAAGCACACAGCCAGGACAGAGAGAGAGACAGAGACAGGGGCAGAUCUGAGAGAGACAGACGACGCCGCUCAAGCACCAGAGACCAGGACAGAGAGAGAUACAGAGACAGGGGCAGUCUGAGGAGACAGAGACAGACGCUCAAGCACCAGGACCAGGACAGAGGAGUACAGAGACAGACGCUCAAGCACCAGAGACCAGGAAGAGACAGAGACGGGGCGGCAGAUCUGAGAGAGACAGAGACAGACGCCAAGCACAGCAACCUCCAGCUCUCAUCUACCCAGCCUGCUACUAGCAACCUCCAGCUCUCAUCUACCCAGCCUGCUACUAGCAUACUCCAGCUCACAUCUACCCAGCCUUCUAGCAUACUCCAGCUCACAUCUACCCAGCCUGCUAGCAUACUCCAGCUCUCAUCUACCCAGCCUGCUACUAGCAACCAGCUUGCUACUAGCAACCUUCAGCUCACAUCUACCCAGCCUGCUACUAGCAACCUCCAGCUCACAUCUUCCCAGCCUGCCAGCACUCCAGCGGUCUUAAGUCAGAGAUGCACAUACAUCCAGCCCGCUAGCAACCACCAUAUCACAUACACCCAGCCAGCUAGCAACCACAAGGAAAAGAGACAGAAGCAUGCAGAAGCCGUAGUGAAAGUGUCCUGUCAGAUGGUGACAAAAGUCCCCCGUGGUAUUGACCACUCGGAUAGCGACAAAGGAGUCCCCCUCUGAAACAGGGCCUAAGAAAGAACUAGAAGGCGAGGAACCACAUGCUGACGCUGCAGAGAAAGUGCCUCCUCAGGUGACUGCAAUGGACUCUGCGGUCCCCUCUGAAUAAAAUCUGAUAAAAAUGUUGUAUCCAGGUGUCUUCAUGAGGAUUCUAAUCGGAUGUCUAAAGAGGCAUCAGUACAAGAUGAAGGGGAAGCAUCUUGCAAAGAGGAGGAAAAAGGCUUGCCAGUACAAAGGGAAGACACCACUUGUACACACUAAGGAGAAAGUGCCUCCUCUAGAGGCUGCACAGGACUCUGGGGACCCCUCUGAGCCAAAGCCCAAGAAAAAAGAGAAAAAAAACACUAGAGGAAAAAGGAGAUAUAUUCAUAACGGUACACAGAACCUAUUUGACAAGGGGGAAACUGUCAAAGGCGAAAGCGGAUGCUAAAUGCACUGAGGCCAAUUCUGAACCAGCACCCAAGAUGGAAGGGGAGGGAGAAAUGACAAGAAGGGAAGGAACUGCUUGCAGAUACAAUAGAGAAAGUAGUUGAUUACAAAUGACUCUUGGCUUCCCUCUGAACCAGGGCCCAACAAAAAACCAGAAAGAGGAAGAAACCGUUAGAGGAGAAACUGUUUGCAGAUCAUAUGGAGAAAGUGUCUGCAAAGAGCCCUCAGGCCCUCUUGGAACCAAAGGCCGAGAAGGAGAGGACGACGCAAUUAAAGAUGGCGAGAAGUUAUUUUCAGUGUAAUUUAUUGGUAUUGUGUGUAUGUGGUAGGACCUAGGCCGCUCAUAUAUGCUAAGUACCUUUAGCGUCUACUGACGAUAGUAUCUUCUGGCCGGGGGAGUUUUAUUAAGACCCCAGACACUUGCACUAAAUGUUAACAUGCAUCAUUUCACACAUCGUUUGCGGUACGAUUUUGGAAACAUAAACGCCUGUUUAUUGGGUUAGGGUUCCCACACGGCCAUAUUUCCAUGUUCCAGUGCUGGUUUACGGAAAAUGUACAGAGACAGUUGACUACCUGUGCUAAUUAGCGAUCUGCGUCUCCAAAAACCUGUAUAGAAACGGAAGAUGGACACCACAAACUCAUCAACGAAAAAUACUGUCGGCUGCAACUGUUAAAACCAGUUUUAUAAACUGUGGUUUGAGGCCUGAUUUCUGAUUGGCUGAAAGCCAUGGUAUAUCAGACCGUAUACCACAGGUAUGACUAACCAUUUAGUUUUACGGCUCUAAUUACGUUGGUAACCAGUUUAUAAUAUCAAUAAGGCUCCUCUGGGGUUUGGGAUUAUGACCAAUACCACUGCCAAGGGCUGUGUCCAGGCACUCUGCUACCCUCGUCAGGCACUCUGUGUUGCAUCGUACAUAAGAAAAGACCUUAGCCGUGGAAUAUUGACCAUAUACCACUCUUCCUCUGGCCUUAUUGCUUUUAUAACACUGGAGUAAAUGUAUAUUUUGCAUAUGAAAGUAGAUGGCUUUAUGUUUCUAGAACGUUACCUCAAUUUAGAUGGAGUAUUUGGCUGCCAGAGACAAUUCGCCUGUUAAUAAACCAAAUAAGGGUGUGGAGUUUACUUGGUCUGGUCAGGAAAAACUCCUGGCCCUGGACAUUAGUACAUGUGUAUCAAUGCGAUGAAAAGACUAGCUGCGGAAUUAUGUUUGUAAGUUGUCAUGCCAUGCCUGUCAUAGCUAAAAGAACUGCCAAUGUUUCAUUCCUCAGUUUGGUCAGCCCACCGAUUUCUAUGGAUCAUCUUUCACUUUGUAAAUAUGUAAUUGAAUAAAAUAUUCUGUCUAAUAUUGUAAGUGUGUAGUGU
ensembl:lncRNA